AUGGCUAGGUUUCAGAAGGUGCAGAUCAUUCAUGGGGAAUAUAACUGAAACCAGUCCUCCCCACCCCCUGGGGAUCUUCACUUUCCCAGUCUACAUCUGCCUGUGACUCCAGAAAGACAAACUGCAGAUUGGCCAAGCUGCCUGAAGACCCAGCCCGACAGCGAUGCCUGCCAGCCUGCGUCGCCCACCAGGGCAGCUGCUCUCCCUACUCACAUCCCCCCGCCUCGGUGCCCUAGAGCUGAGCGCAGCCGCGGCUCCACGGGGAUCGCCAGGGCCUCAGCCCUCGCGGCCGGCGGCGCGGGAGUGUUGCGGGGCAGGGACCAGAGCGCUACCAGAGCAGCCACCCCCGAUUUAGGUCGCCAACUUUCCAGCCACUGCGACGGCCACUGGGGCGCCCCUUCCAUCCUGGUUAAAGUCUCAUUGUGAUCCCCAGCCCCCGCCUCGGUUCGCGACACCCAGGGGGCCGGUUCUCCGCGGUUCAGGCCGGGAGAGGUCACCGCUCCGGGCAGGGCGGACCCCCAGCUCCAUCUCGGAGGACCUUUCGCCCGAGGAGAGCAGGAAGGGGUUAACCAUGAGCCUCCCACCCUCACCUCCCAGCCCCUGGUGCCGGGCGAAGGCCGCCGCUUCCCUCCUGAGGUCUCAUUAGGGUAACCCUCACCGCUAUUUUCAACAUUUCCUCAAUCAAGUGCCUUUAAAUAGAGCUGCACAAACAGAUUGGCGGCAAAAGCGUAGAUCGUGUCACGAUUGAGACCAAUCCAAUAUUUCAGCUUUGUUUGCUUUGCAAUUACGGGUUGGCUUGUGGCUGCGGUGCCACUGGGGCAAAUCUGCAACCGCUCGCUUUCUCCUUUGCACUCUGGGCUGGUGGAGGAAGCGACCCGCGGAGUCACUGCAGGGAGGAGAGGGGGACGCGCGCGUGGGGGAGGAAGCGGCGGAGGGCGGAGGAGCCUCGCUUGCACCCCAGGGCCGCGGGCACUCAGAGCUGUGUUGAAGGACACAUUUUUCAGGUUCCUGACAGUCACUGAGCUAUACGCAAUAAUAAAGUGCGUGAUUUGCAUGUGGAAACCAGUGUCGUGUCCUCACCAGCUUUCUUUUCUGCCCACCUUCCCUCUCUCUUCUACCUCCGUUUCGCUUUUCUUCAGUGUAUGUUAGCGGUUUGGUGGAUUUCACUUCUCCCUCGAUGUUCAACUGCUAGCAUGAUUUGUUACACUUUCCACAGCUGUUUAUUCUUGUUUGACUUUUUGUACAAAGUCACUUUAAAUCUGCUGCAGAAAGAAUAAAGCUCCUAACCCUUUGGAUGGGCUCCUGCAGGCGUAUGGCUGUCCCUGGGCCACUUUUAAUUCUUUGGAGAUGGCUCUUCUGUGUAAAUCAGCUGCUGGAUGCGUUCGGUCACCUCGUAGGCCAGCCUAGUUUGUAUCAGCAGAACAGUCAUGAACUCAAAUCAGGUCGCAAGCCUUGUAUUUCACAGACAAUUAAAUCUUGGCUGCUGUUGAACAAAACUGUAAUAUUUACUCUGCUCUAUACCAAGGAGCACUUUUAAAGUAAAAAAAAAAACCCCAAAUACUACAUUUCAUAAAGAAAAUAUGACAAUGAAUCUCUUUUUAUGGAUUCUCUCUGCAUAAGUUGAAACAAUAUAAUUUAAAUCCCUGACACCCCAUCCCCUUUUUCAGACACAGCUGAAGUGAUACAGAUACUGUCUUCUAACACAUCAUCUCUCGCUCUCCGGAGAGGAACCUGCAUGUGCUACAUUCGAUUUAGUUUGUAAGGUUUCAGGCCCCUCCCCGACUGGUGUAAUAUGUAACAAGGAUUAUCAAAUAAUAAGGUCUUGGAUGUGAAGUAUGCUUUACACAAGAAUUCAAGAAAGAUAGGCAGGACUUGGGUAAUUAUGUUACAACUUUGUAUUACUUUCCAAAUGAAUACCCAUUUUCUUCUCAUGUCAGCUUCUAGAGAUGGGAGGCUGAGGCAGAGAAAUAUUUUUAUGAGACUCUGGAGUACAUAUUAAAAUGUGCUUCCUUAUUAUUUAAGAAUGUGUAAGGUAUGGACCUACAUUUGCUUGCUGGUGGUCAUAAAAUAAAUUCAUAGCCAUUGUGGUCAAUAAGCAAUCUCCUUCAUGCUUUAAAAAUUUUUGGUUUAUAAUCCCACCUGGAUUAUAUUUUCACUAUUCUGUAUCACCCUCCUAUUGCAGUAUUUUGGUUUUAAAUCUUAUGUAAAGCAAACCUCAGAAAUGAUCGCUUCCAUAAAAUUGUGCGAUGGCAAAGCCACGGAAUAAUAUUCUGAGUCCAUAUAGCCAUGCAUGCUCAUGUAUGUAGCUCUUAUACAGUUUUCUAGCUAACCGACUGCUUUAGUAUUUCAAGAAAUAGGAAGCAGUAGCUCCCUAUUUGAAAGGGUACCAGUUCAUAAGAAUUCUAUUUUCACUGAAAAAAUUGGUCUGGCACAUUAUUCAGUGCAAAAAAUUAUAAUAUUACUUUCACGUGUGUUAAUCUGUUUAGUAUUAAAACUGCUAGGGUGUCUUAACCAUUAACGUGUUUUGCCACACCACUUUUAAAUGGGUGAUCUGAGAUAAUUACAAAGAUUUUGAUGUUAAUCCCACGUUAAAUGAACAACUAUGAAAAUAAUCUUAAAGCAUUAUUACUCCCAUAUAAAUGCCAGCAAACCCAAUUGUAGAGAGAACAUGAUUACUUUUUAUCUGACAUUAUCCUAUAAGGAUAUGGCUACAUUUAUUUCUUUUAGAAUUGGAGCAGUUUUCAAUUACUUUUUAACAGAAUUGCUUUCAACACAGCAUUUUGCAGUGCCCAUAAACCACAGCAACUUUGUACUGACUGAUACAUAUUUUUCUACAUUAUUAUUCAUUAGCCUCUUUGCAAACUCACUAAAAUAGAAUAGUAUUAAAAUAUGAACAUAUAGAGAACAAUUAUUAGUUUCUACAUUUUUAUUUAGGUAAACCAAUGUUAUUAAAAUUAAAAACAUGUGCCUGGCAUGUAAGUGCUUCUUUAGGAAUUCUUUUUUGGAUGCAUAGUUAUUAUUUUUUAAACCAACUCAGAUUUUCAAACGCUGAUUUUCUUCUCUGAACAGUCAUUGCAUUGUUUUAAACAGUAGCUCCUGGAAUAAUGCCGCCUUUAGUAUUUUAGACUUUCAAACAACAAUUGGAAUUGGAUAAAUGGUUUCAGCUGGGAACACUUUCAUAAUACCUUUGUAGGUAAUGGGAUUCUCUAUUUGUGCUGGGUGACAAACGGACAGUGCCCUGGACAGACUGUCUACCCUCUGCAGAAUCUACCAAAAAGUAGAGUUUUCCCAUGAGACUGCUUGUGGUCCAUCUAAAAAGGAAAAAAAAAAAAAAAAAAAAAAAAAAAAUCAGAGAAAACGAGCAAGGACUUUUCUAACUACAAUUAUGAAAUGAUGGCUUAAAGGGGUAUUUAGAAAAUAAGAGUGGAAUAAUACAGAAACAAAAUCUGAAAAAGAAAGUUUGCUUAGACAGGAGCUGACACUCUUUGUCUACAAACGAGAGGGUAAGGAGCUGGAUCCAAUUGAACUGAAUUGUUUUUGUUUGCUUGUUUGUUUUCUUCCGUUCAGUGCCUUUCAAAUUGUUUUUUACUGGAUGAAGAAACUCAACCAAGGAAAUAUAUGUCAAUUCUUGUAUAUGGGACAAUAUUAGCUGCUGUGAUUUUUAAUACUAGCAUAAAAUAUAAGAAUCUUUUCAUUACUGUGACUUUGUUUUUUUCUAAAUGAAUGCAUAGUGUUCAAUCAAGAAAAUAUAUGUUAAUUCUGGUAUAUGGGACAAUAUUAGCUGCUGUGAUUUUUAAUACUAGCAUAAAAUAUAAGAAUAUUUUUAUUACUGUGACAUUGUUUUUUCUAAAUGGAUGCAUAGUGUAACAAUUGGUGUCAAAAAGCAUUGAAUGUUUUUCAAACGGGUUAAGCUGGAAUAAUAAAGUACAUCUAUGAGAUGAUUUCUAUAACUCUUACUUGCUCAGAAAAAAGUGAAAAGCUUUUUCUGGAAGAAACAUGGCAACUUAACUGUUAUUAAUCUGGACUAAAUAAAACAGGAAACUGCCUCUUUA